GCUUACGGCCACACCGCCUGGUUCACGCCCGAUCUCGUUUGAUCUCGGAAGCUAAGAUAGGUUGGGCCUGGUUAGUACUUGGAUGGGAGACCGCCUGGGAAUACCAGGUGCUGUGCUUU
ensembl:rRNA 5S_rRNA 5S ribosomal RNA